CAGAGCUAUGAGGGCAGCA
rnacentral:misc_RNA from 1 species